GUAUAAUUUUUUAGCAAAAUAAAAAAUAACAAAGCCUAAUUCUAAGAACCUAUGACAUGCCCACUCUAUUUGCCUACAGAAAUUUUCACUGAAAAUUAUUCCCGCUUUUCGGCUUAAUUUCAUCAUCGAUGCUACCAAAGCGUAAUUUAUUUGAUUUGCUUACCCUCAAAAUUUCUUGUGGAUGCCAUGGUUUCAAUCCCAAUCUCUUCAUUUGCCAUAAUAUUGAUUUUUGGUAAAUAAGUUCCGACAAAUUUUGUGUUCUUGUUCAAGCAGUCUUCAAGGCAAAGUGGAGUGUGUGUGGGCUACUAUGUAAUCUGGGACUCAAAAUGCGAAAUGGCAAACGUUACGGGUGGCUUAGAUUUAAUUGCCAGAUCGACGACUGGGGGAUUAAAUAUUUGAAUUCUACAGCCAGGAUUAGACAUGGUUGUCUACAAAAGGGGGAAACUUAGGCGAAUGUCAGCUUUCACUUUUGCCUUGACGUUGUGUUCUUGAGUUCCUUGCAUUCUCUAUGCUUUUCACCAUCUUCUUCACUUUCGGCCUUUUUAGAUUUUGAGAAAUUUGUGCUCUGAUCGAGCAAAUUUUUGUAAGUAUCUAAAGAACUAAGUAAGUUUUGUCACUGACAUGGCGUCAUCUUCAUCUGAACGGGUAGAUCUGAGGAGGUUGGGUGCUGAUAUGGGGGUAGAGAUUACCAGUACUUCUUACCUGGUUGAGGCUAUUAAGGCUGGCCAGAGUUGCCUUCCAAUAGUUGGGAGAGGGGCUGGGAGCGAGGGGUGGAGGGCAGAGAAAAUUCAGUCCAUUGCAGAUGCCCCUUUUUUAUGAACUUGAGAAAAAUAUCAUAUCCCUUACAACAUUGAAUUAUUAGCCCCUUCCCCCGAUGAGCAAGCUUGUUACUCGAGAUCGGGGUGUGUAUUUGUCAGUGAGUUCCUUCUAAAAGUGGAACUUCGAAUUCCAUUGCACCCAUUCUUUAGCGCAAUCCUUAGGUUGUAUGGGUUGGCUCCUAAGUACAUGACUAAAGAUUUCAUGUAGGCAAUUUAUUAUCAAACGUUAGAUAGUAAACCAAUUUAUAUGUCAUUUGACGUUCCAAUCUUGGAAUAUGCUGUACACGACGUAGAUGUGUACAAUAUGGCUCGAUAGCAAUGAUCCUUUCAUGGUUGCUCUAUGACAAUCAAGUUAUAAACUGUACUGUAAAAUUGGUUUGCUAGUUGAAAUUAAUCAAAAUGAUAAAGUGGGUGAUA